GACGUAGGGCGCGAGCGUUGUCCGGAUUUAUUGGGCGUAAAGAGCUCGUAGGCGGCUCAGUAAGUCAGGUGUGAAAACUCCAGGCUCAACCUGGAGACGCCACCUGAUACUGCUGUGGCUAGAGUCCGGUAGGGGAGCAUGGAAUUCCUGGUGUAGAGGUGAAAUUCGUAGAUAUUGGGAAGAACACCAGUGGCGAAGGCGGCUAACUGGUCCAGCACUGACGCUGAGGUGCGAAAGCGUGGGGAGCAAACAGG
rnacentral:rRNA from 1 species